rnacentral:lncRNA from 1 species
AAAAUUCAGCCCAAAUCGAACAGCCCAGAGAGUAAAGCCCAAUUGGAGGAUCCCCAAAUCAGACAGCCCAAAGAACGAAAUCCAAUUGAACGAAUCAAGGUGAAUGCCCAAAUAAGGGGCCCAAUAGUGCGGUAACGCCAUCGCCCAAGUUUGCAAGUCGCUCAGAAUCUGAACGAAUAGAGUGGCAUACCGUCGCCCAGAGUCUCGC